CCUUCGAUAGCUCAGCUGGUAGAGCGGAGGACUGUAGAGUGAUUAUCUGUAGGAAUCCUUAGGUCGCUGGUUCGAUUCCGGCUCGAAGGA
rnacentral:tRNA from 1 species